rnacentral:pre_miRNA from 1 species
UUUAAAUACAAUCAUGAGUUUCCGUGUCCAACUUUAAUCCGUUUUAUUUAAAAGUUUUUUAUAUGAUUGAUAUUUUUAUUGAUACUAGACGAUAAAACAUGAAUAUUACUUUGUGUGACUUAUGUUUUUUAUUUUUUUUUAAAAAUAAAUAAGAUAAACUAUUAAAGUUGAACACGAAAAUUUACGGUUAGACUUAAA